rnacentral:lncRNA from 1 species
CCCUUCCUCCCUUCUUUCCUUUCUUCCCUCCCCGAUCUUCCUUCCCUUUCUGCUCUCUUUCUAAUAUUUCCUCCCCCGCCACAGUUCAGUGGCUGCGCGCCACCCUGUGACGCCUCCCGCCGCAUGGUCUGUGGAGGGGCCCUAUCUGACAGGUGUUCCAUGUCCCUGGCACGGAGCCCAGCACAGCCCCAAGUACAGCAGCAGCCCCACUUAGUAAUUCCUGUUGAGCAGCGGAUUCAACGCUGCUUGCUAACACAUCUGCUUUGGAUCACGCUGUGGGAGCAGUGUGGCUAACAAGGCGUGCAAGACCCCCUAUGAGCAGAGAACUGACGGCGGCCAAUGCUCAAGGGAGAAGCCUGCCUGGAGGGAAAGCAAGGAAAAAAAAAUACUAAAAGCCUUUGGAUUCUGUGUUUCCUCAAAGCAGAAUCAUUAAAGAGAUUAUGCCAGGUGCCCAGGAGGCAAAAACAUCUCUCUGUGAAGACGUGGUUCAAGGCAAGAGCCAGAGAAGCAGUUAUAAAGGUAAAAACCAGGAUGACAGGCAUGCAGAGGAGCGGCAAGUCCCUGAUCAAGGGUCUUGUGCCUCUGGUGGAAGGUCCUGUGUGCAACACACUCCUUUAAGAGUGUGAUGGUGGGAUAAGAACAGAGAUCCAGAUGGAGGCUGUGACUCCUUGCCCUGGUUCUGCAGUUAGCAGCUAUCCCAGCAAGGAUGUGGGGAGUAUGGACCUAAGAGUUUCUGCUUGUAGCCACUGUGCCAGUGCGGCCUCUCAGCAAUUUCAGAAUAUUUUGGGAGACCUACGAUUGGAAGACCUGUGGUCCGCUUUGCAAGGUGGAGUCCUGGGGAGCAGCAACACCACACGCACUACACACACAUUUGUGACAUUUCUAGGCAAGUGGGGUAAGAGAUAGGCUUGCAGAGUUUGGUGUGGUCUCCCCGUGUCCACCAUGGCACAAAAGCAGAAGAGAGACCUAUGACCCCUUCUUUUAACAUGGCUCAGGUGUGGUGCAAAAGGCCAAGGAGGUCACAUGGGCUGCAGCAAGGGCCAGUGCUGCAGCCACACGGCUCAUGGCCAAGGCUGAGAAUGGGAAGAUCUUUGCAUGGAGGCAUUGAGGACUAGAAAUCCCCUCUGUGCCUUGUUCUACUAGAACUCAGACACAAUUUCAGGGAAUAUGGGAAAACCUCAAA